CGCAUACAGUAUUUCACCCAGAACACACCUGAUCUUGUCUGAUUUUGGAAGCUAAGCAGGUUUAGACCUGGCUCGUACAAGGACGGGAGAGAAGGUAAGGCUGGAUUCCC
rnacentral:rRNA from 1 species